rnacentral:lncRNA from 1 species
CAGGAUUUCAUUGUGUAGCAUCUCACAGAGCUUCUUAAUUCUGCUGUCACACUUACUUUAUUCCUUUGUAUAUAACGUGCACUUUUUUCCUCUCUGCUUUUGAGAGAUUCUUUUUUCUUAUUGUUAGUAUUCUGCAAUUUAAUUACAAUGUGCCUAGGUAUUUGUGGUAGACAGAAUAACAACACUCCAAAGAUAAACACACUCUAAUACCUGAAACUUGUGAAUGUACUACUUUUUGUGGCAAAGGGAGAUUAAGGUUGUAGAUGGAAUUUAGGUUGCUAAUUAACUGACCUUAAAAUAGAGUCUUAAUUAUGUAGGUAGAUUCAGUGUAUUCACAGGGAGUCUUAAAACUGAAAGAUAGAUUCAGAAAGUCAGAAGAAGAUGUGAUUCUGUAGGAAGUUCACAGUGAAGUACAGUGUUGCGAUCCUUGAAGAUGAAGAAAUGGGAUUAUGCAGGUGGCUCUAGAAGCUGGAAAGGUCUUGGAUUCACACUAUUUGUGGGUUACUAAUCUUUAUGUAUCAGUGGAGUCAUAUUUUUAUUAAAUUUGGAAAAUGUUCAGCUACUCUUUCUAUGUGUAUACACACACACACACACACACACACACACAUAUAUAUAUAUAUAUAUAUAUUUUUUUUUUUUUUUAGAUGGAGUCUUACUCUGUCACCUAGGCUAGAGUGUAAUGGCACGAUCUUGGCUCACUGCAACCUCUGCCUCCCAGAUACUAUGUUUUAUAACCAGUUGAAGGUUGGUGGCAACCCUGCAUCAAGCAAAUCUAUGGGACCAUUUUUCCAACAGCGUGUGUUCACUGCAUGUCUCUGUGUCACAUUUUGGUAAUUCUCACAAUAUUUUAAACUCUUUCCUAUUAUUAUAUCAGUUACAGUGAUCUGUGAUCAAUGAUUUUCAGUGUUAUUGUAAUUGCUUUGGGGCAACACAAGGGUGCCCAUAUGAAAGACAGCUAAGUUCAUGAAUUAAUGUGUGUGUUUUGACUGCUCCACUAACUGGAUAUUUCCCCAUCUAUUUUUUUUCUCCGCAGGCCUCCCUAUUCACUGAGAUAAAAUACUGUUAGACUUCAGUCAGUUAACAACAUCACAAUGGCCUUUAAAUAUUCGAG